GACGAACGCUGGCGGCGUGCCUAAUACAUGCAAGUCGAACGCACUCUCGUUUAGAUUGAAGGAGCUUGCUCCUGAUUGAUAAACAUUUGAGUGAGUGGCGGACGGGUGAGUAACACGUGGGUAACCUGCCCUAAAGUGGGGGAUAACAUUUGGAAACAGGUGCUAAUACCGCAUAAAACCUAACACCGCAUGGUGUAGGGUUGAAAGAUGGUUUCGGCUAUCACUUUAGGAUGGACCCGCGGUGCAUUAGUUAGUUGGCGAGGUAAAGGCUCACCAAGACCGUGAUGCAUAGCCGACCUGAGAGGGUAAUCGGCCACACUGGGACUGAGACACGGCCCAGACUCCUACGGGAGGCAGCAGUAGGGAAUCUUCCACAAUGGACGAAAGUCUGAUGGAGCAACGCCGCGUGAGUGAAGAAGGUUUUCGGAUCGUAAAACUCUGUUGUUGGAGAAGAAUGUAUCUGAUAGUAACUGAUCAGGUAGUGACGGUAUCCAACCAGAAAGCCACGGCUAAC
rnacentral:rRNA from 1 species